GAUGAACGCUAGCUACAGGCUUAACACAUGCAAGUCGAGGGGAAACGAUGAGAGAGCUUGCUCUCUUAGGCGUCGACCGGCGCACGGGUGAGUAACGCGUAUCCAACCUACCCAUUACAGGGGGAUAACCUUGCGAAAGUAAGACUAAUACCCCAUGGCAUUUUAUGGUGGCAUCAUUAUAGGAUUAAAGAUUUAUUGGUAAUGGAUGGGGAUGCGUCUGAUUAGCUUGUUGGCGGGGUAACGGCCCACCAAGGCAACGAUCAGUAGGGGUUCUGAGAGGAAGGUACACCACAAUUGAAACGAGGCCCCGACCCAAACUCGACGGGGGGGAAGAGAUGGGGACACUAGGGAAGGGGGCAGGACUUGGAACCGCCGAGUAGGGGAGAAGGUUGCGGGCAUAGUGGUUGUAAACUGCUUUUAUAGGGGAAUAAAGUGAGCUACGUGUAGUUUAUUGCAUGUACCCUAUGAAUAAGGAACGGCUAAUUCCGUG
rnacentral:rRNA from 1 species